CGGACGGGUGAGUAACGCGUGGAUAACCUGCCUUACACUGGGGGAUAACACUUAGAAAUAGGUGCUAAUACCGCAUAAGCGCACAGAGCCGCAUGGCUCAGUGUGAAAAACUUCGGUGGUGUAAGAUGGAUCCGCGUCUGAUUAGCCGGUUGGCGGGGUAGAAGCCCACCAAGGCGACGAUCAGUAGCCGGCCUGAGAGGGUGAACGGCCACAUUGGGACUGAGACACGGCCCAAACUCCUACGGGAGGCAGCAG
rnacentral:rRNA from 1 species